rnacentral:rRNA from 1 species
CGGCGAGUGAAGCGGUAACAGCUCAAAUUUGAAAUCUGGGUCUUUUAGGCUCCGAGUUGUAAUUUGUAGAAGAUGCUUUGGGUGCGGCCCCGGUCUAAGUUCCUUGGAACAGGACGUCAUAGAGGGUGAGAAUCCCGUAUGUGAUCGGUGGCUUGCGCCCGUGUAAAGCUCUUUCGACGAGUCGGGUUGUUUGGGAAUGCAGCUCUAAAUGGGUGGUAAAUUUCAUCUAAAGCUAAAUAUUGGCCAGAGACCGAUAGCGCACAAGUAGAGUGAUCGAAAGAUGAAAAGCACUUUGGAAAGAGAGUUAAACAGUACGUGAAAUUGUUGAAAGGGAAGCGCUUGCAACCAGACUUGCGCGGGGUUGAUCAUCCGGGGUUCUCCCCGGUGCACUCGGCCUCGCUCAGGCCAGCAUCGGUUUUGGUGGUUGGAUAAAGGCCUUGGGAAUGUGACUUCUUUCGGGGAGUGUUAUAGCCCUCGGUGCAAUGCAGCCUACCGGGACCGAGGACCGCGCUUCGGCUAGGAUGCUGGCGUAAUGGUUGUAAGCGACCCGUCUUGAAACACGGACCAAGGAGUCUAACAUCUAUGCGAGUGUUUGGGUGUCAAACCCAUACGCGUAAUGAAAGUGAACGGAGGUGAGAACCCUUAAGGGUGCAUCAUCGACCGAUCCUGAUGUCUUCGGAUGGAUUUGAGUAAGAGCAUAGCUGUUGGGACCCGAAAGAUGGUGAACUAUGCCUGAAUAGGGUGAAGCCAGAGGAAACUCUGGUGGAGGCUCGCAGCGGUUCUGACGUGCAAAUCGAUCGUCAAAUUUGGGC